CAAAGCUCGUGCUAAGGGCUUUUCCCCUGACCACCCCCCUUCUUACAUCUCACAUUCUGGCACUGCAGCAAAGGCAGCCAUAAGCCCCCUUUAAGGGGCACAGUUGGAGGAAAGUGUGUGUUCGUUGCUGGGAGAUAGACAAGGAAGACGUGAUAGGUGCUCACUAGGCAUACCCGCCUAGCAGGUAGAAACGAGCAGCUGGAUGAACACCCAGAGUAGUUAAGUCCUAUAAACCCAGCAGGGUGGGCAAAUUCUGGAUGAGACCCAAGUGGAGGCUGUGAUGUUACACCACGCCCAUUAUCUACAACACAAGUCACCACUGCGCGUCCUUGCAAGGAUCCGAUUCAAAGAAUGUCAAUAUUAUAGAAGGCUUAGCUAUGGAGGACAGGUAGAGAAAGGGAGAAAGGCAGGAGGACAGGAGAAAAGGGGUCCGAUGAUGCUGAAGAUGAACUCACUCUACCUAAAGGUUUUUUUUUUUUUUUUUUUUUUUAAGUCAGUCAUCAAACUUCCUUACUUCACUUGUGAAGCUUUCGCUGUAGCGCCAAUGUAAUGCUCCCGAACAGCAGCUGGGAUCUUAAGCAUCGGGUAAGCCUCACACUUGAUGUAAGUCAGGUAGCUUAACCCACGCCAAGAGCUGCUCACAGCUAUCAGAAAUUGAGUUGCAAUUAGCAUGCUCAUCCAUCUCCUUCCACGCCGCGGAAGGCGGACUCUCAGCCCAGCGUCCUUGCAAGGUCGUACAGCAGCCCGCAGAGAGCCCUGGACGGCUGGGACUGGGGAAGCCCCAUCUCACGGGAGAAGAUAGGUUCUCAGUUUCUGCCCGCCACCCUGCAAAGCAUGUCGAAUACAUACAAUCAGAAGGCGGUGCAGUGUGGUCGAUCAGGUAUCCGGCUUCCAAUGCUACUUAUCAGCUGUGUGACCUCAGGGUCAAUUAAAAGUGCCAGGAAAACGUCAGUCUCCACGGCAAGGGAAUUCAUCCAUUUGCCACACUUCAGGGAGCAGAGAAGCAACUGCCCACCCCUGUAGGGGACUCAAGUUCCCUCCUGACCUGAGUCAGGGUGCUGUCGGCGGGGGCCAGCCUGAGGCUUCUGUUCCGCAAUGGCUGGGGGACGCACAUACCUGGGGCCCCAGCCCACGUCCCUGAGGCUCACGAUAGAAGAGAAGGCAUUGCCAGCUCCAUUCUACUUUUGCUGAAAUUCAGCGCAGCCAGAGGCCACCCUUUCCAGGGGAGAAAUCUCACUCCGGCUUAGAAAGCAGUGCCAACUAUGCUCUUGAAUAGCAACUCCAAUAUUGCAACUCAAAUUCUGUCUUCUUUGUGGGCUGCGAAAGAUGUUCAGUGGCAAGUGUGUGGAUCUCAAAAGGUGCAUCAUUUGUUUAACCUCACUUCUGCCUUUUUCCUUCUCCUAUUUCCAGUUUGCUACCUUCUCUUCAUUUACUCUUUUAUAAUCUCUCACUGUAUCACAUGGAGAAUUCUAGAAUCUAAAGACUCAGACAUCCUUCCAUAGUGCUUGAACCAAUUUACAUCCUCACCAGGCAUCUGGAAAUUCUCAUCAAAAUCGCAAAGGCGUAUAGCCUUGGACCCGGCAAUUGUGUCAGCAGAAAUUUAUUGUGCAGAUUUACUUGCACCCACACAAAAUGAUAUGUGUCAGCGAUUAGAAAUAGCCCAAAUGUCCAUCAACGGGUGACUGGUAAAUCCAUAAAUGGAAUACUAU
rnacentral:lncRNA from 1 species